rnacentral:sRNA from 1 species
AGCUGCAGGCGGCCACGCACCAGGGUGAGCCGCCCCCGUUCCCCUCCACCCACACCAGCGCUUACCCCUCUGGCUCUUCCGCUUUCUGUUCCUCCUACCCCUAAACAAAGCUGCUCUACCGGAAAGGAGGCUCCCCGUGCUUGGCCUCCCGAUCAACGGGACCCCGGCCCCAUGGCGGGAAGGGAAGGGGAUCACUUGACCCAUAUCCUUCCAGGCUGUGGAGCCGCGCCAGCUGGGAUCCAGGCCCCUCCUCAGUCGGCAGCCAAGCCAGGCCUGCACUUUAUAGACCAGCACCGGGCUGCGCUUAUCGCGAGGGUCACAAACGUUGAGUGGCUGCUGGAUGCCCUGUACGGGAAGGUCCUGACGGAUGAGCAGUACCAGGCAGUGCGGGCCGAGCCCACCAACCCAAGCAAGAUGCGGAAGCUCUUCAGCUUCACACCAGCCUGGAACUGGACCUGCAAGGACUUGCUCCUCCAGGCCCUAAGGGAGUCCCAGUCCUACCUGUUGGAGGACCUGGAGCGGAGCUGAGACUCCUUCCCAGCAAAACUCCGGUCAGCCCCUGGCAAUCCCACCAAACUCAUCCUGCAUCUGAUGUUUUUAUACACAAUAUAUGAAAAGCCAGCUUGAA